rnacentral:rRNA from 1 species
CACCGCGGUUAGACGGAGGGCCCAAGUUGAUAAACAGCGGCGUAAAGCGUAGUUAAGAUAACAAACAAAUAGGACCGAAUACUCUCAAAGCAGUUAAAUGCAUUCGAGACCACUAAGCACACCCACGAAAGUGACCCUAAUAGUUCUGACCCUACGAAAGCUAUAACA